AUUGAACGCUGGCGGCAGGCUUAACACAUGCAAGUCGAGCGGGGAAGGGUAGCUUGCUACCUAACCUAGCGGCGGACGGGUGAGUAAUGCUUAGGAAUCUGCCAUUUAGUGGGGGACAACAUUCCGAAAGGAAUGCUAAUACCGCAUACGUCCUACGGGAGAAAGCAGGGGAUCUUCGGACCUUGCGCUAAAUGAUGAGCCUAAGUCGGAUUAGCUAGUUGGUGGGGUAAAGGACUACCAAGGCGACGAUAUGUAGCGGGUCUGAGAGGAUGGUCCGCCACACUGGGACUGAGACACGGCCCAGAAUCCUACGGGAGGCAGCAGUGGUGAAUAUUGGACAAUGGGCGGAAGCCUGAUCUAGCCAUGCCGCGUGUGUGAAGAAGGCCUUUUGGUUGUAAAGCACUUUAAGCGAGGAGGAGGCUACUUAGAUUAAUACUCUAGGAUAGUGGACGUUACUCGCAGAAUAAGCACCGGCUAACUCUGUGCCAGCCGCCGCCGUAAAAC
rnacentral:rRNA from 1 species